CUGAGAGGAUGACCAGCCAACACUGGAACUGAGACACGGUCCAGACUGCCUACGGGAGGCAGCAGUGGGGAAUAUUGCACAAUGGGCGCAAGCCUGAUGCAGCCAUGCCGCGUGUGUGAAGAAGGCCUUCGGGUUGUAAAGCACUUUCAGCGGGGAGGAAGGCGUUAAGGUUAAUAACCUUGGCGAUUGACGUACCCGCAGAAGA
rnacentral:rRNA from 1 species